UACGGGGGGGGCAAGCGUUGUUCGGAAUUACUGGGCGUAAAGGGCUCGUAGGCGGCCAACUAAGUCAGACGUGAAAUCCCUCGGCUUAACCGGGGAACUGCAUCUGAUACUGGAUGGCUUGAGUUCGGGAGAGGGAUGCGGAAUUCCAGGUGUAGCGGUGAAAUGCGUAGAUAUCAGGAGGAACACCAAUGGCGAAGGCAGCUCACUGGGACGAUACUGACGCUGAGACGCGAAAGCGUGGGGAGCAAACAGG
rnacentral:rRNA from 1 species